AGUGAACGCUGGCGGUAGGCCUAACACAUGCAAGUCGAACGGCAGCACAGUAAGAGCUUGCUCUUACGGGUGGCGAGUGGCGGACGGGUGAAGAAUACAUCGGAAUCUACUUUUUCGUGGGGGAUAACGUAGGGAAACUUACGCUAAUACCGAAUACGACCUACGGGUGAAAGCAGGGGAUCUUCGGACCUUGCGCGAUUGAAUGAGCCGAUGUCGGAUUAGCUAGUUGGCGGGGUAAAGGCCCACCAAGGCGACGAUCCGUAGCUGGUCUGAGAGGAUGAUCAGCCACACUGGAACUGAGACACGGUCCAGACUCCUACGGGAGGCAGCAGUGGGGAAUAUUGGACAAUGGGCGCAAGCCUGAUCCAGCCAUACCGCGUGGGUGAAGAAGGCCUUCGGGUUGUAAAGCCCUUUUGUUGGGAAAGAAAAGCAGCAGGUUAAUACCCCGCUGUUCUGACGGUACCCAAAGAAUAAGCACCGGCUAACUUCGUG
rnacentral:rRNA from 1 species